CAGUCGCCGCGGUAAUACGUAGGGUGCAAGCGUUAAUCGGAAUUACUGGGCGUAAAGCGUGCGCAGGCGGUUUGUUAAGACAGAUGUGAAAUCCCCGGGCUCAACCUGGGAACUGCAUUUGUGACUGGCAAGCUAGAGUCUGGCAGAGGGGGGUGGAAUUCCGCGUGUAGCAGUGAAAUGCGUAGAUAUGCGGAGGAACACCGAUGGCGAAGGCAGCCCCCUGGGCCAACACUGACGCUCAUGCACGAAAGCGUGGGGAGCAAACAGGAUUAGAUACCCGAGUAGUCCCUGUCUCUUAUAC
rnacentral:rRNA from 1 species